rnacentral:lncRNA from 1 species
UAAACUUGAUGAAGCAAUACAUCUUUAAUACUCAUGUCUCAUCACAAAUCUUUGUUGUUAUGACCAUCUGAUAAAUCAACAUUUAUCUGCAAAAUUGUUUGCAAGAUUGAGCACUAUGGCCCAACAAGUCUAACAGUUUUGAUGCUUCACAUAGCACAUAAUAUCAUACUUAUAUCAUAUCUCAAGAUUAUAACAAUUCAAGUAACAUUUGUAUCUCAUGCAUAUCAAAUAUCAAAUCAAGACUGAGUUUUAGAAACUCAAUCAAAUUUAGUCAAUAGUUGACUUUCAUCAUUCCACAAGUAUAACAUGUAAUCCAUGUAAUCAUGUCAAGUUCAUAUACAAAUAGGAACUGGAAGACUUGCCUCUUUGAUGCGAAGCUAUUAAUUUUACGCAAUUACACGUAUUUGAGGUAUUAUGCUCCUGUAUAGCACCAAUAUACACAUAAUGUUAUUACAAUGUAUAACAUUACCAUAUUAUACAAAUUCUAUUUAAACUUGGGUUUUGCUCAUUCUUAAUAUCCCAUUCUUAAUUUCUCUUAUUUUAAUAAGUUUGUUACAUAUGUAUGGGAUAUAAAUCUUAUUAGCUUUUACUAGGUUAAUAAACCAACCCACUUAUUUUUCAAAUACCUCAUCCACGCUUAAAUGUGAAUCUUAAAUGUGAAUCUUUUAUUGUUACCUCGUUGAACACAAAGAUAACCAGAAAUAACUAUACCUUGGAUUAAACAAGGCUAGCUUUUCCUUGUAAGUACUAUCACUCAUUUCCUAGUCUUGAUUUACAAAUUCCAUAAUUUCUCAAAUUGAGAAAUCCAUAUGAUGAUACUAUUUUGUAUCAUACAAUAUAAGUCCCGAUAUAUGUAUUCAACCAAUUUUAUUUAUUUUUACAUGAUUGCAACAUUAAAGCAUAUACCUCAUUCCAAGUAGACAACACAGGCAUAAGUAAGAUCUAAAGUCUUACUGCAGAAAACUAAGUGUUAAGUCCCAUAAGAAAUUGAAAAACCCUCAUGAUAAUCUCAUUAUUUACCUGAAGUGUAGUAGUGCCACAAGUACUAGUGUAUGUAUAUUUGGGAAUCAAGUUUAAUUUCCAAGUUCAUCCAACAAGGACCUAAACUUUGUAUAAUAUAAAUAGAUAACACGAUUGCCUUGUGAUAAUGACACUAGGACCAAAUAAACACCAUUGAGCACUGAAAUGCAGCGCAGCCGGCAGCGUGCACACGCGCCUGCUGCUGUUGUUGCCUGCGUCGCUGCUCUAUUAAACUGCAGCAAAACCACGGACAUCCUACCCACUUUACAAAUUUCUAGUUUACAAAUCACAUAUCCAAUUGGAACCAAACUUUAGGAUGUUAUAAAAGGUAUAUCAUAAUAUUUUUUUUAAAAAAUAUAAACCAACCUGAAAGACCAAUUUAAAUCAUGUUUACAAAGGCUGGAAUUUGCCUUGUCUCAACAGUUUUCAAUUUUUUUCCAACUGUACCCUCUUUUGCUCAAACAGUCAUAACUUUUUUGUUUCAAAAUAUUUUUGAGCGAUUCUUGAGCCCACGCGAAGCUAAAUUCCGGGACUACAACUUCUCUUCAGAUCACAAAUCCAAAUUCCAAACCGAACAGAACAGAAAUUUGCUCUAAGUGGACAGAAUGUUCUGUUUUUAGACUGCACGACCCUUCUUCCCUAAAAUGGUCAUAACUCCUUCGUUUCUCAACAUUUUUAAGCGAUUCUUGAGCCCACGCGAAGCUAACUUCCGGGGUAAAACUUUCAAUCUUUGACCAUUUACAAAUUCAAAACACACAAUUCCAGAAAAUUCGUGCCAGGGGACUGCUUCGAAUCUGUUUUCCAAAUUUGGGCAGUUUCGACGCACCCACUUUGGCAUGUCAUAAAUUGAUCAUCUGAACUCAGAACGAGUCCGUUCUGGAGUCUAUGGACAGCUGGUAUUACACACUUCAAGACCCCAGAAAACUAUAAUUUCCAGCAAGUCUAAUUAACCGAAAUAGUUAGCCCAAAGUAGAACGACACACUAAUUUUUAACUUUUCGUUUUUCGUACAAAACUCGCCCCGGCUCAUUCUAGCAUGAAUUUUUUCACAAAUAAGUCUUAUAUAGUAUAUUAAGACUGUUUUAGAGUCUCGACUUUGUAAAAUUCCAAGUUUUUAGCUAAGUUAGCUUGUUUUGGCAUUUUAUCAAACAUAACACAUGCGCCUAAAUUGUGGACUGAUUUCUAAAGGUUGGGGGCUACAUAAUCAAGCCAUUUUCGCCAACCUUAUUGCUCCGCACAACCACGCUAAUCUCCAUGGCUCUAAUUCAGUCCACAAGGAUCCAAUAACAGUAAAAAGCAUACAUGAAUAUAUAUAGUACACUAACUAAUUAACAAAUUAGUUUACUAACUUCUUACUUUCCACUCAUUUGCAAUACACUAAGCAUGCAAUAUUUCAUUUCCAUAGUUAACUAACAUGAUCACAAUUAAGAUAACCAGCUUUAUCAAUUCCGAUAACAAACUAACUUUGUUUUGCAAAGCUUUACUUAUAUUAACUGUUUUUGAAACCACUAGCUUUCAAUUUUUAACUUAUUUUCAAAACUCGUCAUAUAAUGGCUAAAUCUUUGAAGCAUAACUCAUAAUAUAAUUAACCCAAUCACAACCAUUAACCAACUAACUGUUCCAAAUAAACUCACUAGCAUGAUCAUAAACAAACAUACCAUACAUAAUUGAUUUUGCUAAUUCACUCAUUAACCCACUACUGCUCCACAAAACACAUCUAUCUGGUAACUAUACGUCAAUUAUCUUGACAUUGAAAUUGAUCUAUUAUUAUACCUUUAAUCCUUGCAAGCUUGACCAAUUAAACUCUUUGUAUGCCAAUUGAAUUCAGCCGGGUUUAAUUUGGGUGAAGUGGUCUUUGGCCGGAAUUGGAGGUACAUGGGCUAGGCUCGGCUACAGAAGUAGAGGGAAGGAGUCUUUGGCAGGUGAGGAAGGAGAAGAAGAAGUGCCAAGCCUUAUGGGCUUUCUUCCUUGUGAGUUACUCGAAUUCCUUGCAGCCCAAUCUUUUUUUUUCUUGGCCAAUACCAACCGAAACACUGCUCCCUUUCCUCUAUAUAUGCUACAUUUUUUGAAGUUCAACAAAGUGAUAUGCAACCUGAACGUGGGUGCAAUGUUCUGCCAUAUAUGGCUAAGCUUCAUCAUUGCUUCUUGGCAGACUACUCCAUAGCGGUCAGUUGGCCCCUAGUUUGGCCUCUAUUAGGCUUAUUGCUAUAUUACCUAGCUGCCUAUUUGACCCCUGCAUUGGGG